rfam:Triticum aestivum genome assembly, contig: Triticum_aestivum_CS42_TGACv1_scaffold_591996_7BS
AUAAUACUCCCUCUGUCCCAAAUUACAUGUCGCAGAAAUGGAUAAAAAUGGAUGUAUCUAGAACUAAAGUACGUUUGGAUACAUCCAUUUCCGCGACAAGUAAUUCCGGAUGGAGGGAGUAUAAU